CUUGAGUUUGAUCCUGGCUCAAGGAUAAACGCUGGCGGCGCACAUAAGACAUGCAAGUCGAACGGACUUAAUCGAUUCUUUUAGAUUCGAAGCGGUUAGUGGCGGACUGGUGAGUAACACGUAAGCAACCUGCCUAUUAGAGGGGAAUAACAGUGAGAAAUCACUGCUAAAACCGCAUAUGCCGUGAACAUCGCAUGAUGAAAACGGGAAAAGAGCAAUCUGCUAAUAGAUGGGCUUGCGUCUGAUUAGCUAGUUGGUGUGGUAAAGGCAUACCAAGGCAACGAUCAGUAGCCGGACUGAGAGGUUGAACGGCCACAUUGGGACUGAGAUACGGCCCAGACUCCUACGGGAGGCAGCAGUCGGGAAUAUUGCGCAAUGGAGGAAACUCUGACGCAGUGACGCCGCGUAUGGGAAGAAGGUUUUCGGAUUGUAAACCAUUUUAGACAAGGAAGAAACAAGACAGUACUUGUAGAAUAAGCUCCGGCUAACUACGUGCC
rnacentral:rRNA from 1 species